AUAGCUUCUCAGCCCUUUUGGCUAAGAUCAAGUGUAGUAUCUAUUCUUAUCAUUUUAAUAUCUGAUACGUCUUCUAUAUGAGGACGUAUACUAAAUAUAUUAAUAUAUUAAAUGAAUUUUUGGAGCAGGGAGAUGGAACAGGAGCUUGCUCCGUCCACUCCAUGCGUUGACCCGGUAUUGCAGUACCUCUGGAAACGGUGCACAAAAA
ensembl:snRNA U2 U2 spliceosomal RNA